ensembl:rRNA 5S_rRNA 5S ribosomal RNA
UUCAGCCGUCAGUCUGAAGGUCUGGCUACGCGAGACUAGGUUGAGCCUGGUCAGUAUCUGGAUGGGAGACCUCUUGGGAAAACUAGGUUGCUGUUGGAA